AUAUGCCUAACUUGUCGGCAUAUAAAUGCAAGUACACUCACGCGCUGAACAGAGACAGCGGAUUUAUAAAUUAAACUGACAUAAAGAGUGUGGAAAGGAAUA
rnacentral:ncRNA from 1 species